rnacentral:rRNA from 1 species
UACGUAGGGGGGCGAGCGUUUGUCCGGAAUCAUUGGGCGUAAAGCGCGUGUAGGCGGUUCGGUAAGUCUGCUGUGAAAGUCCAGGGCUCAACCCUGGGAUGCCGGUGGAUACUGCUGAACUAGAGUGCGGAAGAGGCGAGUGGAAUUCCCGGUGUAGCGGUGAAAUGCGCAGAUAUCGGGAGGAACACCAAUUGCGAAGGCAGCUCGCUGGGACGUUACUGACGCUGAGACGCGAAAGCGUGGGGAGCAAACAGG